CAGCUCCUCAUUUUCUGUCUGGGAUUACAUAGAGACAGAAGGAUGUGAGGAAGCCUACAUCUACAGAAGAUCUGUGGUUAGUUCUUCGAGAUGUUUGGAACAACCUACCUGCGUACCUACCUUGAGUUCCU